ACAAAGGUCCUUUUCAGGGCCACCCACAGUCUCAGUUGAGAGAGCU
rnacentral:ncRNA from 1 species